rnacentral:rRNA from 1 species
GACGAACGCUGGCGGCGUGCCUAAUACAUGCAAGUAGGACGCAGUUGCGAACGGGUGAGUAACGCGUAGGUAACUACCUAGUAGAGGGGAAUAAAUACGGGAAACGAUAGCUAAUAACGCCUCCUAGUGGGAGGACCUGCGUUGUAUUAGCUAGUCGGUAGGGUAAUGGCCUACCUAGGCAACGAUACAUAGCCGACCUGAGAGGGUGAUCAGCCACACUGGGACUGAGACACGGCCCAGACUCCUACGGGAGGCAGCAGUGGGGAAUAUUGGACAAUGGGCGAAAGCCUGAUCCAGCCAUGCCGCGUGUGUGAAGAAGGUCGUCGGAUUGUAAAGCACUUUAAGUUGGGAGGCGUUACCAACAGAAUAAGCACCGGCUAACUUCGUGCCAGCCGCCGCGGUAAUGC